GACCACGAAUUUAGUGCCGGAGGGUUGUGACGAUCACGGGAGCGUCAGGUGAGGCAUCACUCGAAGGUCGGCCGCUCCGCUCUCUGCUGUGCGGCCUGCGGCGUCACUCCAACUUCAAAAAGGUGUAAGGGCUGGGUGCCGGCCGUUCCACGAAUUUAGUGCAGAUUUCCGCAUGAUCGUUCCUCAUAGAUUAUGUCAGGUACCUUUUAUACUUCCCCUCGCACCACAUGUGCCAACGACAAAAGAAGUAGCCCCCAGAUUAAUAGCAACCUGUUACAGCAGGACUCGGUCUCUUGUAGAUACUACUCCCGUUUGACUGUAACUUUACCACAGAAGUUUUCCUAACGUUCUGGUUUCCACUGGGUACCUGGACCUUUUCCCUCACGUAGACGACGCAGUGAGAAGGACUACAUGGAACAAUAGUAAGGGUUUUACUCACGGUUUUCUUGACGGGUUAUUCAACUCGACAGUCAAAUUGAGACUCGUUUUGAUUUAUUUUCGGCUGGCCAUUUCCGAUCCUCUUCUAUUGAAGCACAACUUACCGCUUCAUAGAACACAUUUGGUUGUUGGUCACUUUUUAGACCUUGAAUGUUACACCCCGCGGCCUAGCAACAGAGUGCCGUCACCACCUGACGAUAGCGACCGCAUUUCCGUGUUGCGGGUCCACGCCACUAUCUACUCCGGACCGCGACCACGGCCCCACCUGCGGUGGCUCUGGCUCCGUCCGCCGCGGCCAUGUCGGACGCCUUACCCGACAACCGCCGACCCGCAAAGAUAUAACGACUCGAAGAAGGUACGUAACGACUCGAGGUAAACAACAAAGAACCUACCUUUCAAACUUGUCUUAAAUCACACACACACACCAUACAAGGAUAUGAAUGGAAAAUCACCGUCGGAGUAUUGCAUUAGCUUGUUAUAAUACACUAAGACCC
rnacentral:rRNA from 1 species